rnacentral:rRNA from 1 species
CAGUAGCCGCGGGAAAACAGAGGGUGCGAGCGUUAAUCGGAUUUACUGGGCGUAAAGCGUGCGUAGGCGGCUUCUUAAGUCGGAUGUGAAAUCCCUGAGCUUAACUUAGGAAUUGCAUUCAAAACUGACUGACUAGAGUAUGGUAGAGGGUGGUGGAAUUUCCUGUGUAGCGGUGAAAUGCGUAGAUAUAGGAAGGAACACCAGUGGCGAAGGCGACCACCUGGACUAAUACUGACACUGAGGUGCGAAAGCGUGGGGAGCAAACAGGAUUAGAUACCCCAGUAGUCCCUGUCUCUUAUAC